rnacentral:rRNA from 1 species
CACGUAGGGUGCGAGCGUUGUCCGGAAUUAUUGGGCGUAAAGAGCUCGUAGGCGGUGUGUCGCGUCGGCCGUGAAAACCUGCAGCUUAACUGUGGGCUUGCGGUCGAUACGGGCAUCACUGGAGUUCGGCAGGGGAGACUGGAAUUCCUGGUGUAGCGGUGAAAUGCGCAGAUAUCAGGAAGAACACCCGUGGCGAAGGCGGCUCUCUGGGACGGUACUGACGCUGAGACGCGAAAGCGUGGGGAGCAAACAGG